GAGGACACAGAGAGAGACCUAAGAGAGCUCAUGUGGCUGCAAUGGUAUUUUCCUAUCUCACCAACCAGAUACAUUACUUGUUAUCUUGUGGGGAGGAGCCAAAAGAAAAAUACUUCUGGCAGAGGAGAAGAGCUUAUAUUACGGGUCAACAGAAAUUCAGGGAGAGGAAGAAAUGGCUCACUGUCAUUGUCUCCAUGGUCUAUGAGGCCAGACUGGGAAAGAACCGCUCUCUAUUUUCCCAUCUCUUCAUCCAGUUGCUGAAGACUGAACUUGCUCUUGCUCCUUUCAGGCUCUGCUGGUCUUUCUGUGUCCCACGUGGGGAUGAUGGGAGGAGGAAUAGCUAAAGGCAUCAAUUCUG
rnacentral:lncRNA from 1 species